rfam:Triticum urartu cultivar G1812 contig845942, whole genome shotgun sequence.
UAUCUACUCCUUCUGUUCCGAAUUAUUUGUCGAAGGUAUGAAUAUAUUUAGAUGUAUUUUAGUUUUAGAUACAUCCAUUUCCAUGACGAGUAAUUUGGAACGGAGGGAGUAUGAU